GAUGAACGCUGGCGGCGUGCCUAAUACAUGCAAGUCGAGCGAACAGACGAGGAGCUUGCUCCUUUGACGUUAGCGGCGGACGGGUGAGUAACACGUGGGUAACCUACCUAUAAGACUGGGAUAACUUCGGGAAACCGGAGCUAAUACCGGAUAAUAUUUCGAACCGCAUGGUUCGAUAGUGAAAGAUGGCUUUGCUAUCACUUAUAGAUGGACCUGCGCCGUAUUAGCUAGUUGGUAAGGUAACGGCUUACCAAGGCAACGAUACGUAGCCGACCUGAGAGGGUGAUCGGCCACACUGGAACUGAGACACGGUCCAGACUCCUACGGGAGGCAGCAGUAGGGAAUCUUCCGCAAUGGGCGAAAGCCUGACGGAGCAACGCCGCGUGAGUGAUGAAGGUCUUCGGAUCGUAAAACUCUGUUAUUAGGGAAGAACAAACGUGUAAGUAACUGUGCACGUCUUGACGGUACCUAAUCAGAAAGCCACGGCUAACUACGUGCCAGCCGCCGCGGUAA
rnacentral:rRNA from 1 species